UACGUAGGGUGCAAGCGUUGUCCGGAAUUAUUGGGCGUAAAGAGUUCGUAGGCGGUUUGUCGCGUCCGUUGUGAAAUCCCGAGGCUCAACCUCGGGUCUGCAGUCGAUACGAGCAAACUAGAGUGUUGCAGGGGAGACUGGAAUUCCUGGUGUAGCGGUGGAAUGCGCAGAUAUCAGGAGGAACACCGGUGGCGAAGGCGGGAUCCUGGGCCAGUACUGACGCUGAGGAGCGAAAGCGUGGGGAGCAAACAGG
rnacentral:rRNA from 1 species